UACGGAGGGGGCAAGCGUUGUUCGGAAUUACUGGGCGUAAAGGGCGCGCAGGCGGCUGCUCAAGUCAGGCGUGAAAGGCCUGGGCUCAACCCGGGAAUUGCGCUUGAGACUGGGCUGGCUUGAGUGCGGGAGAGGAUGGUGGAAUUCCCAGUGUAGAGGUGAAAUUCGUAGAUAUUGGGAAGAACACCGGUGGCGAAGGCGGGUCUCUGGGCCAUAACUGACGCUGAGGAGCGAAAGCGUGGGGAGCGAACAGG
rnacentral:rRNA from 1 species